CCUAUGGGGUGCAGCAGGCGCGAAACCUCCGCAAUGCGGGCAACCGCGACGGGGGGACCCCCAGUGCCGUGGCAAAGCCACGGCUUUUCCGGAGUGUAAAAAGCUCCGGGAAUAAGGGCUGGGCAAGGCCGGUGGCAGCCGCCGCGGUAAUACCGGCGGCCCAAGUGGUGGCCACUAUUAUUGGGCCUAAAGCGUCCGUAGCCGGGCCCGUAAGUCCCUGGCGAAAUCCCACGGCUCAACCGUGGGGCUUGCUGGGGAUACUGCGGGCCUUGGGACCGGGAGAGGCCGGGGGUACUCCUGGGGUAGGGGUGAAAUCCUAUAAUCCCAGGAGGACCGCCAGUGGCGAAGGCGCCCGGCUGGAACGGGUCCGACGGUGAGGGACGAAGGCCAGGGGAGCGAACCGGAUUAGAUACCCGGGUAGUCCUGGCUGUAGAGGAUGCGGGCUAGGUGUCGGGCGAGCUUCGGGCUCGCCCGGUGCCGAAGGGAAGCCGUUAAGCCCGCCGCCUGGGGAGUACGGCCGCAAGGCUGAAACUUACAGRAAUUGGUGGGGGAGCACUACAAGGGGUGGAGCGUGCAGUUUAAUUGGAUUCAACGCCGGGGAACCUCACCGGGGGCGACGGCAGGAUGAAGGCCAGGCUGAAGGUCUUGCCGGACACGCCGAGAGGAGGUGCAUGGCCGCCGUCAGCUCGUACCGUGAGGCGUCCACUUAAGUGUGGUAACGAGCGAGACCCGCGCCCCCAGUUGCCCAGUCCUCCCCGCUGGGGAGGAGGCACUCUGGGGGGACCGCCGGCGAUAAGCCGGAGGAAGGAGCGGGCGACGGUAGGUCAGUAUGCCCCGAAACCCCCGGGCUACACGCGCGCUACAAUGGGCGGGACAAUGGGAUCCGACCCCGAAAGGGGAAGGGAAUCCCCUAAACCCGCCCCCAGUUCGGAUCGCGGGCUGCAACUCGCCCGCGUGAAGCUGGAAUCCCUAGUAUCCGCGUGUCAUCAUCGCGCGGUGAAUACGUCCGUGCUCCUUGCACACACCGCCCGUC
rnacentral:rRNA from 1 species